GAUGAACGCUGGCGGCGUGCUUAACACAUGCAAGUCGAACGGUGAAGCCAAGCUUGCUUGGUGGAUCAGUGGCGAACGGGUGAGUAACACGUGAGCAACCUGCCCUGGACUCUGGGAUAAGCGCUGGAAACGGCGUCUAAUACUGGAUAUGAGCCUCUUCCGCAUGGUGGGGGUUGGAAAGAUUUUUUGGUCUGGGAUGGGCUGGCGGCCUAUCAGCUUGUUGGUGAGGUAAUGGCUCACCAAGGCGUCGACGGGUAGCCGGCCUGAGAGGGUGACCGGCCACACUGGGACUGAGACACGGCCCAGACUCCUACGGGAGGCAGCAGUGGGGAAUAUUGCACAAUGGGCGAAAGCCUGAUGCAGCAACGCCGCGUGAGGGAUGACGGCCUUCGGGUUGUAAACCUCUUUUAGCAGGGAAGAAGCGAAAGUGACGGUACCUGCAGAAAAAGCGCCGGCUAACUACGUG
rnacentral:rRNA from 1 species